CGUCAAUAUGGCGCUUGCAAGUUGUGCGAUGGGGUUUGUUGCUUGUCUUGUGCUACCGGGUUUAAACGUUUCCUGUGUGCAGCCUCUAUGCCUCAUUGAACUGUGCGGCAGGUGUGAAACAGAUGUGGUUCAGUAAAACCGUGAAGAGUCAUUUGAAAUGCGGGGUGCACCAAAAGUCACGUUCGUCGUUUGCGAAGACGGUUACCGCGCCGUUGUGGACAACCUCGAGAAAUGCUUCAUUCCGCUGAGCGUUGCCGAUAUGGCAAAAAAGGCCUUUAUCGACAAAGUGAGCCGGGUAAGGACAUCAAGAAGAGCUGCUAUUACAGGGAUGUCCACCUUCUUUGAGAUGGAGAAAAAAACGACUCGCCGUGCAACACAAUCGUUUCUACCAGAGUGACUGUGAAAAGAACGUCAGAACUUGGAAGGUUUCAGUCAUAUCCUCCAGGUCAGGCUCCUUCGGCACAAACACUGCAGCUGCUGUUACCACCACCACGGCCUAUAUUUCACUUCAGCCAUUGCUGCAUCACAACCAGUAUUACACUUUCUGAGCCGCUACCACAGUCCUUCCCAAUGAUGCCUCACCUUGACAGGGCUUCAUAUGCUUCCAAAGGAAGCUAUCAGGCAAGUGUGUACUGUUAAGAAAUUUAGCUUUCAGUAGCAUUGAUGUUUUCAAUGGGCAGAUUAAUUGACAAGUCUGCCAACUUCAUGCUUCUUGAACAGGGUUGAACCUACGUG